rnacentral:rRNA from 1 species
AUUGAACGCUGGCGGCAGGCCUAACACAUGCAAGUCGAACGGUAACAGGAAACAGCUUGCUGUUUCGCUGACGAGUGGCGGACGGGUGAGUAAUGUCUGGGAAACUGCCUGAUGGAGGGGGAUAACUACUGGAAACGGUAGCUAAUACCGCAUAACGUCGCAAGACCAAAGAGGGGGACCUUCGGGCCUCUUGCCAUCGGAUGUGCCCAGAUGGGAUUAGCUAGUAGGUGGGGUUACGGCUCACCUAGGCGACGAUCCCUAGCUGGUCUGAGAGGAUGACCAGCCACACUGGAACUGAGACACGGUCCAGACUCCUACGGGAGGCAGCAGUGGGGAAUAUUGCACAAUGGGCGCAAGCCUGAUGCAGCCAUGCCGCGUGUAUGAAGAAGGCCUUCGGGUUGUAAAGUACUUUCAGCGGGGAGGAAGGGAGUAAAGUUAAUACCUUUACUCAUUGACGUUACCCGCAGAAGAAGCACCGGCUAACUCCGUG